CUUGCUAUGUAACAGAAUAAACGCCUUAAAUGUAAAGUUACAGCUUUACAAAGCACCGACACUGGAGACUCCUUCCAUAAAUGAUAAACAGCUCCUUACAGAAAUGUUCACCAUAUCAACAAUUUAUCAAAUCCGUGUAUAUUGAGUGUAUGUCAUUCGCGUCCCUGUGAAUGAGCCGUUACUAUGCUAACGAUAUCGUAUCAGAUCGAGCGCGUUAAUAUGAACCUGCGCUGCUGUCCGAGCUGCCGUUCUAGAGAAUUAAUCAACACCUUCUGACCAAUCAGAGUCCAGAACUCAACAUCAAGAUGCAUGAACUGGCGUAAAUCGUGUGUGAUAAAAAUCUCACGUGUGGUAAAUCUCUAGCGAUUUCAAGCAAACUAUUCUGAAGAGUAUUAGCGUCUGUGAAACAGAGAACACACGCACCUGAUGGUGGCGAGGACGCUGUCCCCGUGGAGAACUUUCAUGAAGGACAGCAAGGGGACGCUGGAGGGCCAGAAGGAACAUGGCGUCCCCCGUGUACGCAGGUUUACACGGAGAAAGACCGGUCCAGGCGCUCGUAUCAUCACCGGAUCCUCGGAGGUGAAGCUCGGGUCAUAUUUCGCUACUUUCAGACCUUGUAAGAAGAGACUGCUGUUGUGUAAGCAUGUUUUAUUCGCGGCGUCAACAACCACGGACGCAGUUUCGGGUCUUCGUAAGUUUGGAAACGAUCCACGUGAACGCGGUUCAGCAGCAGAGGGACAGAAGAUAUUUUUAACAGAGGGACAGAUGAUGUUUUUAACAGAGGGACAGAAGAUAUUUUUAACAGAGGGACAGAAGAUAUUUUUAACAGAGGGACAGAAGAUAUUUUUAACAGAGGGACAGAAGAUAUUUUUAACAGAGGGACAGAAGAUAUUUUUAACAGAGGGACAGAAGAAGUGGACGUUUGUUUUUGGUGGUUUUCUCAGCACAGAGAUUUUCAAAAACACAUGGACAAACUCCAACACUUUCCCUUUUUGCAAUCAUCUUGGUUGAUGUCAUGAGCUACAAAAAAUAUAAUAUUGCAAACUAUGAGCUCACGCUUAAACACAUUACAGAGGAACCUUCUGCCGAGAGCUUCAAUAAACCCACAGAGUAACCUAUAACAGUAUCUGCAACAAACAUCACGUUCAUAAGGCCGUCUUUCCCUUUAUUCCUCCACCUCGGAUGCACUGGACAUCCGUACGGAGAAAUGCCUUUAACUGAAGACAUCUAAUCCUGCACACUCCUUUCUCCCGCUCUAACUCAUCACGUAGUCGGCAGUUUUCCUCUCAUAAAGGUUAUCAGCAUUAUAUUUAGCUCAUUGCGCUCCACCUUGGUGCUUUCAGUAAGGAACGGCGGUGAACACGCCGUUAGCUUGCUGGGGUGUGAACGACAGGCACAGGAAUAAACACCGAACACUACGGAAUGACUCGGCACCAACGAGAAAGCGACUGCGUCAGACCUCAAGGGUGAACACAGGAACGAUUUUCUCCCCAAAGUGCAUCAAUAAACCAUCAGCGCUGGAGGACUCAGGAGCUGCGAGUCUCUCUCACACACACACACACACACACACACACACACACACACACACACACACACACACACAUCAGCGCGUACAGCCGCUUUAACGUACGUUAACGCCGUGUGCUCAUUUAACGUACAUCUCAGUCCACAGUCAGUCCUUCCCUUUAUCCCUCAGGACUUGAGAAGAUCGAAGCAGCCGGAGAACCAAACUUUAACAGCAGCUUUAAUGCGACAAGCCUGCAAAAUUUAUUUAUUUAUUUCUUUUUAAAAUGAAAGAAACAUGAUUUGGGGUUUUUUUCUUCAGUUUUAAAAAACUCAUAAGAUUAACGUUCUGAAUUUGUAAACGGUUUCUAUCACACCGAUGAAGUUGAAUGGUGACUCCAUACGGCACACAUUUUUAAAUAGAGAAUAAAUACUCGUCUGUCACUUCAUCACUCGUUAGUGUGACUGUAGUGUUCGUGCUGUGAGAGAGAGAGAGAGAGUGUGUGUGAGAGUGUGAGAAAGAGAGUAUGUGUGAGAGAGAGCGUGAGUCGAAGAAAAAGAGAGAGAGAGUGUGUGAGAGAGAGAGUCGGAGAGAUUAUUACAAAUUAAACUCAAUUACAUUCAUUAUAUUAAAUGAACUGUGUAGAAACGUGUGGAUUAAAUAACGACUCAGUUCAAAUCUAUAAAUGAAGAGAAAUUCAGCUGAACGAGUGCAGCAGCUCUGAAAUGAAGAGAGAGAGAGAGAGAGAGAGAGAGAGAGUGUAUGAGAGCGAGAGAGUGAGUGUGUGUGUGUGAGAGAGAGCGAGAGAGGCCAUGCUUAAGUCUUUCCCUUUACAAGGCCACUUGGGAAAUUUAAAGUAUCUUGAUUCCGGCUCAUAAACGUGAUGAAUAAAGAGGAAAGUCACGUUUAGAGCUCGCGUGUGACGGAACAGAGCUCGCGUUCUCUCCUCUGCACUUUACACACAAAGAUCACCUGCAGUAAGAGGAAUGUUUAUAGAUCUGUUUAUGUAGAGUUGUGUAGAGUUGUGUAGAGUUAUGUAGAGUACAUUUAUGUAGAGUAGAGUUGUGUAGAGUUAUGUAGAGUUGGGUUAUGUAAUGUAGUUAUGUAGAGUUGUGUAGAAUUAUGUAGAGUAGAGUUAUGUAGAGUUAUAUAGUUCUGUAGAGUAAUGUAGAGUAGAGUUGUGUAGAAUUAUGUAGAGUAGAGUUAUGUAGAGUUAUAUAGUUCUGUAGAGUAAUGUAGAGUAGAGUUGUGUAGAAUUAUGUAGAGUAGAGUUAUGUAGAGUUAUAUAGUUCUGUAGAGUUAUGUGUAGUUAUGUAGAGUUAUGUAGAGUAGUUGUGUAGAGUUGUGUAGUGUAGAGUUAUAUAGAAUUUUGUAGCGUAGUACAGCAGUCAGUAUUUAUAGAUGAAAUAUAAAGCUAUAGGAUGUGUU
ensembl:lncRNA